rnacentral:snRNA from 1 species
GGAUGUGAGGGCGAUCUGGCUGCGACAUCUGUCACCCCAUUGAUCGCCAGGGUUGAUUUGGCUGAUCGGGCUGGCUAGGCGGGUGUCCCCUUCCUCCCUCACCACUCCAUGUCCAUCCCUCCCGAAGCUGCGUGCUCGGUGGAAGAGGACGACCAUCCCUCAGAAGGAGUGUACCGUCCUUCGGUCAAGGGUAUACGAUAGCUGCGUUCCCCUGCUAGAACCUCCAAAAUAAGCUCAAGGUCCAUUUGUAGGAGAACGUAGGGUAGUCAAGCCAAACUUGGGUU